GGGGGUCCCGGGGGCUGGGGUCGGGGAAGGUGCUCUCAUUGUUCCGCCCGAGCCCGGGGCUCUCUCU
rnacentral:pre_miRNA from 1 species